rnacentral:lncRNA from 1 species
UAGGUCUAUGUCCUAAGAACACUCCUCAGCAAACUUUGUGUGUGCUACUCUCCAUCACAGGUUCUGUUUCCAGGGAACCCAGUCUAAGACAAUGCUGGCUUCUGAAUCAACAAAUGUGAUGAGGUGGGACUCUGAUGAUAAAUUAGGAUAAAUUUUCAUGCCCUAUUAUGGAACCAGGAUGGGAUCAGUCUCUCCCAAAGCACCUUGGCAGAGGCAGAGAAGAUGAAGACUGGAGCAAAACUUUUAAUUGUUAAUUUAAAAAAUGGGAAGAAUCAUAUUGAGAAGGAAAUGAUACAGAUUUUUUUAUCUUUCAAGAGAGCCAGAAGCAGUUUAUUUAAAAAAAAAGUCUCAUGAUGUUUUAACAUUGGAAACUAAAUGAGAUAUUUUUAAAUGCCAUGAAUUGCUAAUAAGACAUGGCCCAAUACUGGCCUGCAUUUCAGUAGUUUGCAACUGUGGCCAGAAAGAACACAGGUAUAGUUUGUAGCUCCAGAGGGCAAAGCUAGGACUAAUACCUAUAUGAAAUCAAGAUUUCAGCUCAACCUAAUGAAUAGUUUCCUAGUGAUUUGAGCAAUAUAAAGAUGGAAUGAAGCAUGUCACUAGAAGGUGAGUUCCUUGGCACCAAGAUUCAUUUUUUAUUCUUCUUAGAAUUUGAACUAUAUGAUCUUUGAGAUCCUGUUCAUUGAUAUCCAUAUAAAGUGCCCUAUCUUCACAAAAUAUCAUUGAUACACCCUCAUCCAGAUAUCAACAACAAACAACAUUGGGAUAGCACCAGUAUUACUACUGAACCAUGAUUCAAAUCUCCUUCUCCAGGAAUACUCCACUUAAUCCAUCACUUCUGGAUAUUCACUUAAGCAUCAAAGGGAAAAAGGUAUCUUGUCUUAGAUAUAAAGAUGCCCCUAGUAAAUCCUUUACAGAUAUCACAUCAUGAUAACCACUGUUCCUUAGAAAUUAGUAUUAUAUUCUAGUAUGUCAGAGCCAGAAGCAGAUCAUGCAGUCCUGCUCCUUCAUUCAACAGAAGACACAGAGAGGGGAAAAAAACUUAAAUUACACAGUAAAAACAGGACCAGAAUUCAGAUCUUUUUACUCUUGGAGCCGAGUUCUUCCCACUGCAACCCAAGCAAUCUAUUUUUCUCAUUAGGCUGAAAUAGUUCCCUAUCAUCCAUUUAUCCCAGAGUGACAGGACUUGCGGGCUAAUGGACUUCAAGGUUCUAGGAGGGAGCUAGGCUCUGGCAUCCAUCCUUUUCAGCAGCCUAGAGCACCAAACCCUUUACAGAGCUAGUUUCUUUGAUCAUGUUAAGGGGUUACUUGUUUUAAAAGUAUUGUGUUCACAUGGUUCCAAAUUCAGUGUUCUUUUCACAAUCUCACCAUGCCUUGAAAAAAACGCCACAGUGUGUGGUAAGAAUUUAGCUACAAGGAGCAGGACUUAAGGUACACUGGGCCUAGAAGGUGAGCUCGGCCACUGAACCAGGGCUCCUUAAAUUCCCUAACAGGACAGAGCCUGCAGAGGGACCAAUUGGCCCAAGUUGUAAAGAGAAGAAGGACUCAACCGGCUGAUGACCACUUUGAAUUGGAUUUGUCUCAUCCUGCUCCUUCAUCCCAUACAUCUACUCUGACACAAAGCCUUGCUGAAUCUUCCUGUGAAAUAUUUAUCCUGCCCAUCCUUCCCUCUCUCCCCUCACGGCAAAAAAAAAAACCUGAUCCAGACUUGAGCUACCUCAUGUGCAGGUUAUAGUCACAGAUUUUUAACUGACCUCCUCCAGGUGUAGAAAUAGCCUUAACCUAAAUGAACAUGUAUCACAUCUGGUUUUAAUUUAUAGCAUGUGUGUAAAUGGUGCUGCUCUUUUAAAAAGCCUUGCUGUUUACUCUUUAACUCCAAGUAGUGGGAAAAAAAAACACUGUAAGUGCCACGCAAAGACUUGAUCCAGCACAGGAACAAGGCUGGUCACCGGAAAGAAGAAACUUGCUCAGAAAAUGGAUCAACGAGUUGCAUUAUAUUUAUCCAUUAGUAUACUA